GCAGAUAAGUAAUUUUAUUUUAAUUAAUUAUUAUUAAAUUAAAAGAAAACUUUUUCUAAUUAAAAUAAAAUUUUAUUGAUUAGAAAUAGAUUUUCUUUUAUUUUUAUUCUUUUUUUACAGAUAAAAAAUAAAUAUUCUUCUCGAUCAACAAACUUUGAGAGAAAGUGAUUUGGGGUUCGGAAAUUUUUUUGAAAUAAUGAUUCUAAUUCCAAAAGCGCAAAUUUAUUCGCUAGACAAUGUAAUAAUAGAAACUUCAAGGCGAAACACUUUCUCUGACCAAUGCAAGUGAUCCCUAUUGUGAAAUGUGUUUGCACCCCACACAAGAACGAAACUUGUUUGAUUGUCGGGAGACAGAAUGUGAUUAUAAUUAAAUAAUGACAUUAUAUCUCAUGGUCAUGUACGUUCAAGCGAUUAAUUGCAGAAUAAUUGUCUUUAAAAUUGAGUAAAAUUGAAUUUUUGAUUAUGAAAAGAAAUAAUAACUAUAUUUCUUUUUUUUGAGGAUAAAAGCAUAUUGAGGAUUCAUUUCAUCAGAUAAAAAAUGGAUUCAAAGAAAUAAAUUUACAUGAUUGGACUGAUUUUAUAUAUUAUUACUGACGUGUCCAUAAGAAAUAUGAAUUCUAUUAUUUAAAAUCCUUCGGAUCUAGAGAAAAAUUAGUUUAAUCGAUAAUAGAACCUUCGUCAUAAUUGCAUUAUUACGAGGUCAUCUUUAAAGGAAAUGAGGCGCAAUGAUUUAAUAUCCUUUUCCGGAGAUUUGAAUGCCUAGGGAAACAUGUCGCUGAAGAAAUUUACUCUCAGAAUUUUAUUCAAUAAGAAUUCUCGUUUUGGAUCUGAAUAAAAAAUUAAAAAAUUUGGCAUUAUUUCUGAUAGAACUUUUUUUUUCUUUUGUUCAACGAACUUGAAAUUCGAAACGUGUCUUCGAGUCAAGUGUGCAUGGACUAAAAAUGUAAAUAAAGUCGUUGUACCGCUUUCACUUAAAGAUACAUCGGAUACAGCCAAUAUAUACAAUGAACUUCAAUUCAAGUAACGGACAUAAUUUAUUAAUUUUAAUAUUUAUCUCGCCUACUUCACUUUCUUUCUAUUUUAAAAACAAUGUCAAUAGAAACUAAUUUUUAAUUACAUUAAAAUAAAAAAUUAAUUUCUUUUUUGUCAUUCAUGAAAAAAUUUAUUAAUUCUCACUUUAUUUAUCUGCAAUGAUAAUUUAAAUGAAUAUAAGUUUUUUAAAAUUUAUUUUUCAAAUUAUUUAAUUUAUUAAUUUUUUGUUUGUUAUUUUUCAAUGUU